rnacentral:rRNA from 1 species
UACGUAGGGUGCAAGCAUUAAUCGGAUUUAUUGGGCGUAAAGGGCGCGUAGGCGGGGGUGCCAGUCAAUUGUGAAAUCCCGGGGCUCAACCUCGGAACUGCAGUUGAAACUACAUCCCUAGAGGGUAGGCGGAGAAAACGGAAUUCCACAAGUAGCGGUGAAAUGCGUAGAUAUGUGGAAGAACACCAGUGGCGAAGGCGGUUUUCUAGCUUAUACCUGACGCUGAGGCGCGAAAGCAAGGGGAGCAAAC